rnacentral:rRNA from 1 species
UACGAAGGGUGCAAGCGUUAAUCGGAAUUACUGGGCGUAAAGGGUGCGUAGGCGGUUGUUUAAGUCUGUCGUGAAAUCCCCGGGCUCAACCUGGGAAUGGCGAUGGAUACUGGGCAGCUAGAGUGUGUCAGAGGAUGGUGGAAUUCCCGGUGUAGCGGUGAAAUGCGUAGAGAUCGGGAGGAACACCGGUGGCGAAGGCGGGUCUCUGGGCAAUUCCUGACGCUGAGGCGCGAAAGCGUGGGGAGCAAACGGG